GCAUAUCAAUAAGCGGAGGAAAAGAAACCAACAGGGAUUGCCCUAGUAACGGCGAGUGAAGCGGCAACAGCUCAAAUUUGAAAUCUGGCUCUCUUCGGGGGUCCGAGUUGUAAUUUGCAGAGGAUGCUUUGGCAUUGGCGGCGUUCUAAGUUCCUUGGAACAGGACAUCACAGAGGGUGAGAAUCCCGUACGUGGUCGCCUGCCUUUGCCGUGUAAAGCUCCUUCGACGAGUCGAGUUGUUUGGGAAUGCAGCUCUAAAUGGGAGGUAAAUUUCUUCUAAAGCUAAAUACCGGCCAGAGACCGAUAGCGCACAAGUAGAGUGAUCGAAAGAUGAAAAGUACUUUGGAAAGAGAGUCAAAAAGCACGUGAAAUUGUUGAAAGGGAAGCGCUUGCAGCCAGACUUGCCCGCAGUUGCUCACCUAGGCUUUGGCCUGGGGCACUCUUCUGUGGGCAGGCCAGCAUCAGUUUGGGCGGUUGGAUAAAGGCCUCUGUCACGUAUCUCCCUUCGGGGUGACCUUAUAGGGGAGGCGUAAUGCAACCAGCCCGGACUGAGGUCCGCGCAUCUGCUAGGAUGCUGGCGUAAUGGCUGUAAGCGGCCCGUCUUGAAACACGGACCAAGGAGUCUAACAUCUAUGCGAGUGUUUGGGUGUCAAGCCCGGGCGCGCAAUGAAAGUGAACGGAGGUGGGAACCCUUUGGGUGCACCAUCGACCGAUCCUGAUGUCUUCGGAUGGAUUUGAGUAAGAGCAUAGCUGUUGGGACCCGAAAGAUGGUGAACUAUGCUUGAAUAGGGUGAAGCCAGAGGAAACUCUGGUGGAGGCUCGCAGCGGUUCUGACGUGCAAAUCGAUCGUCAAAUUUGGGCAUAGGGGCGAAAGACUAAUCGAACCAUCUAGUAGCUGGU
rnacentral:rRNA from 1 species